GAUGAAGAACGUAGCGAAAUGCGAUAAGUAAUGUGAAUUGCAGAAUUCAGUGAAUCAUCGAAUCUUUGAACGCACAUUGCGCCCGCCAGCAUUCUGGCGGGCAUGCCUGUUCGAGCGUCAUUUCAACCCUCGAGCCCCCCCGGGGGCCUCGGUGUUGGGGGACGGCACACCAGCCGCCCCCGAAAUGCAGUGGCGACCCCGCCGCAGCCUCCCCUGCGUAUUAGCACACACCUCGCACCGGAGCGCGGAGGCGGUCACGCCGUAAAACGCCCAACUUUCUUAGAGUUGACCUCGGAUCAGGUAGGAAUACCCGCUGAACUUAAGCAUAUCAAUAAGCGGAGGA
rnacentral:misc_RNA from 1 species